rnacentral:lncRNA from 1 species
CAACAUUGUCCUACUGGAUUAUCACCACACUCCUACAACAAUCCACUUUGGUGUUAAGGCUACCAUUACAUGGUUGUCAGCUUAUUUUUCUUGGCUAAGUCUCUACUUGAAAGUAAAGAACUUUGUCAAACACUGCUCUAUUUGUCAAACUUAGAAAAAAGGGUUGUUACAACUUCUACCAAUUCUACCAAUUCCAAAUCAAUUUUAGAUUGAACUUACCAUGUAUUUUAUCACACAUAUGCCAUACUCAUUUGGUCACACUAUCAUUUGGGUGAUUUAUGAC